rnacentral:rRNA from 1 species
GAGUCAAAAAGACCGCGAAACCGUUAGGAGGGAAACGAAUGCAGCUGAAGUGGUUCCGUAUCAGGCUCAGGGGACGUCGGGGGACGUUCCGGGUUGUACGGCUGUGUCGCAACUCGGAGAGGCCGCCGACCACUCUGCACUCCUGUUGGGAGCCGGCCAACGGCAGUUGCUUCCGGCCCAGAAGGUCGGUCGGGAGGUGACCCUGCACUCGUGCGGGGAGCGUACAGCCGUCCGUCCAGCGGUCUGGGAGCGACUGAGGAGAGUCGUGAAUUUUCACGCGUGCAGCGCAGGCCCUCCGGGGCCGGGCCGCCUCUGUCCGUUUGGGACCCGCGGUGGGGACUGCGUGCAGUGUCCGCCGACGGUCAGCCCGCUCGGGCGGGGGGUCGGCCACGCCUUGCGCUCGGGCUGUUGGUGCUCAAAUGGCUGCAUC